CCCUGUCCAAUUAGACACAUGCAUAAAAGACAUUUAAAAGGCAUAAAAAGACAAUCAGAUUUCAUAAAUGUUUAAAAAAUGAAUCAUUUCUGUAUGUAAAUAAGUUAAAAGAGCCACAAAGUUCAUUCAGUUAAAAAACAUAGAAUUCAUUUGAAAUGUAUUUACAGUGUAAAAUGUAUAAAGUUCAUUUAUGUGUGAAAUUGAAAGAGAUAAAUAAGUUUGGUUUCAUUGUUUCCUUAAAAGAUGUGCACACUAUCUUGAUUUUGUUUCAGUUGUCACUCAUGGUGUUUUUUUGUUGUCACUGGUUUGGUUGUGACUUAAUAGCCAAUCAGAGAUCUUCUUUUGCGUAAGGGGCGGGACAAGUGGCGCACGGUGCUGUAACAGGAAGAAAAAUAGAUCUCUCUCAUGUCAGCCGUGAUCGGCCAGGAAACAUCGUGAUUUGUGGAGAACAUUCAAGUUAUAUGGAAGAUUGACUACCAGUUGAUCCAGAGUGUGACUGUUGUGAUCUGCAUCAGAUGUGGACUGAGAGAGAGCCGGUUGGAGCGUCGACCAGAGGCCCGGCGGAGUUUCUGCUGUUUCUUCAGUGUUAUCUUCAGUUUCGUUUCUUCAAUGAUAUCUUCAGCUUCGUUUCUUCAGUGAUCUGAGUUUGUUU